rnacentral:lncRNA from 10 species
CUCUCACCAGUGCCCUAUCCUGCUGUGGCUGAGCUGGUAUCCAAGAUGAAAGACAAAGUCCUCCUAACUCUUCCAUCUCCUCUCCUGAAGCAAAAGGAAGGGGUCACUUUUGGAGCCAUGAGCUAUGCAACCCGGGGUGGGUGGGGGGUGAUGCCAGCACUCCCUUAGACACCCCAACUGGUGUCUCAGUAGGUCACGUGCUUCCCCUAGUCCACUGUUUCUGGGCCCAGUUCAUCCCAGGAAUUGCCUAGGUGUUACAAUCCUUGUGGCCUAGACUGCCUUUCAAGUGUAUCUGGGGCUCCAGAGUACUUUAGUCCAAGGUGAUGAGGCUUGCGGGAACUGAAGUUCGUACUGCUGGGAUCAGAGAUUCCCCUCUGUCUAGGGUUUAAAUGUUUCCUCUGUGGGCAUGUGUCAGCUUAGUUUGGUCUGGUUUUGCUUUCUCUUAUAACAAGGGUAGCACUGAAUUCAAUGCCUCACAAUUGCUGGUUUCAGUGCCUCUCUCAGAGAUAUGAAGUUAAAACCAGGUCAAAACUGUAGAAUGUUCAGCUCUGAUGAGAUAAACUGAGGCUGCUUGGGAGAGAAUUUUUGGAUCUGCCUGGAAUUUGUGCAAUCUGAAAUGAAGACCAUGGAGGCUCUAUGUGAACCACGAGACUAGAAAGAAUGAUGCCCAUUCUCCUGCUUCCAGGAAGGACUGUAUUUUUACACAUAGUAUUUUUGUUCUGACUAUGACAAAAAUACAUACACAUUUUGGAAAGUACAGAAAAUAAUAAAGAAAAUGAAAACAAUCUACAAUUCUACUACCCAAAGAUGAUUACGAUUGGCAUUUGAAAUUUUCUGAGUUUACAAAAAAAUGCCUUUUAUCCUGCCUUUUAAAAAAUGCAUAGCAUUAUAUCUGAA